GAUGAACGCUAGCGGCAGGCUUAAUACAUGCAAGUCGUGGGGCAAGCGUUGGUAGCAAUAUCGGCGCCUAGACCGGCAAACGGGUGCGGAACACGUACACAACCUUCCUUUUAGUGGAGAAUAACCCGGGGAAACUUGGACUAAUACUCCGUAACAUGUUGAAAAGGCAUCUUUUUAAUAUUAUAGUAGCAAUGCGCUAAGAGACGGGUGUGCGCAUGAUUAGGUAGUUGGCGGGGUAACGGCCCACCAAGCCUACGAUCAUUAACUGGUGUGAGAGCACGACCAGUCACACGGGCACCGAGACACGGGCCCGACUCCUACGGGAGGCAGCAGUAAGGAAUAUUGGUCAAUGGAGGAAACUCUGAACCAGCCAUGCCGCGUGGAGGAUGAAGGUCCUCUGGAUUGUAAACUUCUUUUAUAUGGGACGAAAAAAAGGGUUUUCUAACUCGACUGACGGUACCAUAUGAAUAAGCACCGGCUAACUCCGUGCCAGCAGCCGCGGUAAU
rnacentral:rRNA from 1 species